rnacentral:rRNA from 1 species
GAAUUUUGCGCAAUGGGCGAAAGCCUGACGCAGCAACGCCGCGUGUGUGAUGAAGGUCUUCGGAUUGUAAAGCACUUUCGACCGGGACGAAAACCCAUUGGCUAACAUCCACUGGCUUGCCGGUACCGGGAGAAGAAGCCCCUGCUAACUCUGUGCCCGCAGCCGCGGUAAUACAGAGGGUGCAAGCGUUGUUCGGAAUUAGUGGGCGUAAAGCGCGUGUAGGCGGCUUUGCAAGUCGGGUGUGAAAGCCCUCAGCUCAACUGAGGAAGUGCGCCCGAAACUGCAGAGCUUGAGUGCCGGAGAGGGUGGCGGAAUUCCCCAAGUAGAGGUGAAAUUCGUAGAUAUGGGGAGGAACACCGGUGGCGAAGGCGGCCACCUGGACGGUAACUGACGCUGAGACGCGAAGGCGUGGGGAGCAAACAGGA